GUCGAGAAUCUUUCACAAUGGGGGCAACCCUGAUGGAGCGACGCCGCGUGGAGGAUAAGGUCUUCGGAUUGUAAACUCCUGUCAUGCGUGAACAAGGUUGCUUGGUUAAUACCUGGGCAUAUUGAUGGUAACGCAAGAGGAAGAGACGGCUAACUCUGUGCCAGCAGCCGCGGUAAUACAGAGGUCUCAAGCGUUGUUCGGAAUCACUGGGCGUAAAGGGUGCGUAGGUGGCGUGGUAAGUCAGAUGUGAAAGCCCGGGGCUCAACCUCGGAACUGCAUCCGAUACUGCCAUGCUAGAGUACUGGAGAGGUGACUAGAAUUCUCGGUGUAGCAGUGAAAUGCGUAGAUAUCGAGAGGAAUACCAAAGGCGUAGGCAGGUCACUGGACAGUUACUGACACUGAGGCACGAAGGCCAGGGGAGCGAACGGGAUUAGAUACCCUGGUAGUCC
rnacentral:rRNA from 1 species